UACGGAGGGUGCGAGCGUUACCCGGAUUCACUGGGCGUAAAGGGCGUGUAGGCGGCCAGGCGUCGUCCGGCGUUAAAGGCCACGGCUCAACCGUGGAGGUGCGCCGGAUACGGCUUGGCUAGACGGACGGAGAGGGGAGCGGAAUUCCCGGAGUAGCGGUGAAAUGCGUAGAUACCGGGAGGAACGCCGAUGGCGAAGGCAGCUCCCUGGACGUCUCGUGACGCUGAGGCGCGAAAGCGUGGGGAGCAAACCGGAUUAGAUACCCGGGUAGUCCACGCUGUAAACGAUGGGUGCUGGGUGUCGGGCUUAUAGCUCGGCGCCGAAGCCAACGCGUUAAGCACCCCGCCUGGGGAGUACGGCCGCAAGGCUGAAACUCAAAGGAAUUGACGGGGACCCGCACAAGCGGUGGAGCGUGUGGUUUAAUUCGAAGCAACGCGAAGAACCUUACCAGGCCUUGACAUGCCGGGAACCCUCCCGAAAGGGAGGGGUGCCCCCUUUGGGGGAGCCCGGACACAGGUGCUGCAUGGCCGUCGUCAGCUCGUGUCGUGAGAUGUUGGGUUAAGUCCCGCAACGAGCGCAACCCCUGUCCCUAGUUGCCAGCGGGUAAGGCCGGGCACUCUAGGGAGACUGCCCGGGAAACCGGGAGGAAGGCGGGGAUGACGUCUGGUCAGCAUGGCCCUUACGGCCUGGGCUACACACGCGCUACAAUGGGCCGGACAGAGCGCUGCGACCCGGCGACGGGGAGCGAAUCGCAAAAACCGGCUCGUAGUUCGGAUUGCAGUCUGCAACUCGACUGCAUGAAGGCGGAAUCGCAUAGUAAUCGCGGAUCAGCUACGCCGCGGUGAAUACGUUCCCGGGUC
rnacentral:rRNA from 1 species